AAAUUGAUCUCCCCGUGCAGAAGCGGGGAUAAUACCAUAAGACGAGAAGACCCUAUGGAGCUUUAGACGUCAGAGCAGCCCAUGUAAAGCACCCCUUAACAAAGGAAAAAACCAAAUGAAGCCUGCCCUAAUGUCUUUGGUUGGGGCGACCGCGGGGAAAUACAAAACCCCCAUGUGGAGUAGGAAUACACAUUCCUAAACCCAAGAGCUCCCGCUCUAAUGAACAGAAAUUCUGACCAAUAAGAUCCGGCACACGCCGAUCAACGGACCGAGUUACCCUAGGGAUAACAGCGCAAUCCCCUUAAAGAGCCCUUAUCGACAAGGGGGUUUACGACCUCGAUGUUGGAUCAGGACAUCCUAAUGGUGCAGCCGCUAUUAAGGGUUCGUUUGUUCAACGAUUG
rnacentral:rRNA from 1 species